ACAGAUUUAAAUAAAAUAAGAAUAUAAAAACAACGACUGUUUUUGUAUUAUUGUCGUCGUUUUUCGUCGUCUUAAGUAAGACUAAGACGACGUAAUAUAUUUGUUGAGCGACGUUGAUUUGUUUUUUAAACGUCGUUAGGUAUAAUAUAACCGUCGUUGAAAAUUGUCUCUCUGAUUGCAAAUUUGCAACGACGUUAGGUAUAAUAUUUGUAGAUACACAAACGCACACACAUCAUCA
rnacentral:lncRNA from 1 species